AGAGUUUGAUCAUGGCUCAGAUUGAACGCUGGCGGCAGGCCUAACACAUGCAAGUCGAGCGGUAGCACAGAGAGCUUGCUCUCGGGUGACGAGCGGCGGACGGGUGAGUAAUGUCUGGGAAACUGCCUGAUGGAGGGGGAUAACUACUGGAAACGGUAGCUAAUACCGCAUAACGUCGCAAGACCAAAGUGGGGGACCUUCGGGCCUCAUGCCAUCAGAUGUGCCCAGAUGGGAUUAGCUAGUAGGUGGGGUAACGGCUCACCUAGGCGACGAUCCCUAGCUGGUCUGAGAGGAUGACCAGCCACACUGGAACUGAGACACGGUCCAGACUCCUACGGGAGGCAGCAGUGGGGAAUAUUGCACAAUGGGCGCAAGCCUGAUGCAGCCAUGCCGCGUGUGUGAAGAAGGCCUUCGGGUUGUAAAGCACUUUCAGCGGGGAGGAAGGCGAUAAGGUUAAUAACCUUGUCGAUUGACGUUACCCGCAGAAGAAGCACCGGCUAACUCCGUGCCAGCAGCCGCGGUAAUACGGAGGGUGCAAGCGUUAAUCGGAAUUACUGGGCGUAAAGCGCACGCAGGCGGUCUGUCAAGUCGGAUGUGAAAUCCCCGGGCUUAACCUGGGAACUGCAUUCGAAACUGGCAGGCUAGAGUCUUGUAGAGGGGGGUAGAAUUCCAGGUGUAGCGGUGAAAUGCGUAGAGAUCUGGAGGAAUACCGGUGGCGAAGGCGGCCCCCUGGACAAAGACUGACGCUCAGGUGCGAAAGCGUGGGGAGCAAACAGGAUUAGAUACCCUGGUAGUCCACGCCGUAAACGAUGUCGAUUUGGAGGUUGUGCCCUUGAGGCGUGGCUUCCGGAGCUAACGCGUUAAAUCGACCGCCUGGGGAGUACGGCCGCAAGGUUAAAACUCAAAUGAAUUGACGGGGGCCCGCACAAGCGGUGGAGCAUGUGGUUUAAUUCGAUGCAACGCGAAGAACCUUACCUGGUCUUGACAUCCACAGAACUUUCCAGAGAUGGAUUGGUGCCUUCGGGAACUGUGAGACAGGUGCUGCAUGGCUGUCGUCAGCUCGUGUUGUGAAAUGUUGGGUUAAGUCCCGCAACGAGCGCAACCCUUAUCCUUUGUUGCCAGCGGUUAGGCCGGGAACUCAAAGGAGACUGCCAGUGAUAAACUGGAGGAAGGUGGGGAUGACGUCAAGUCAUCAUGGCCCUUACGACCAGGGCUACACACGUGCUACAAUGGCAUAUACAAAGAGAAGCGACCUCGCGAGAGCAAGCGGACCUCAUAAAGUAUGUCGUAGUCCGGAUUGGAGUCUGCAACUCGACUCCAUGAAGUCGGAAUCGCUAGUAAUCGUAGAUCAGAAUGCUACGGUGAAUACGUUCC
rnacentral:rRNA from 1 species